CCUGUGGGAAGCAGGAGGGACCACCCUCCAAGGCUAAAUACUACCUAGUGACCGAUAGCGUAUAGUACCGUGAGGGAAAGGUGAAAAGAACCCCGGGAGGGGAGUGAAAUAGAACCUGAAACCCUGCGCUUACAAGCUGUGGAAGCACAUUUCUUGUGUGACCGCGUACUUUUUGUAGAACGGGCCAACGAGUUACGUUAAGUAGCAAGG
rnacentral:rRNA from 1 species